UACAGAGGUCUCAAGCGUUGUUCGGAUUCAUUGGGCGUAAAGGGUGCGUAGGCGGCGCGGUAAGUCGGGUGUGAAAUCUCGGGGCUUAACUCCGAAACUGCAUUCGAUACUGCCGUGCUUGAGGACUGGAGAGGAGACUGGAAUUUACGGUGUAGCGGUGAAAUGCGUAGAUAUCGUAAGGAAGACCAGUGGCGAAGGCGGGUCUCUGGACAGUUCCUGACGCUAAGGCACGAAGGCUAGGGGAGCAAACGGG
rnacentral:rRNA from 1 species